rnacentral:lncRNA from 1 species
GCAAAGCACUCAGCCUGAGCGCCCUCCUCCUCUGCACAGAGGACGCUUCCCUCCCAGCGCUGCUGCGCCGGAGUCCACCCGCCAGCCUUCGCUGCAGCCGGGUCCUUGAUUCUGCAGCUGAACCUGAAAGUGUGAGCAGCGAUCUCGGCGGAGAAGUCGCCGUUGAUCUCGCGGACUAGGGAACAAGCUGAUUCUCACUCUUACGCAUCGUGUUGUUCUCGAGAAGUGUCCUUUCCGGACCUGGCUUCUGAAAACUUCAACUAACAAAAAUAGAAUGAUGGAUGUGGGAACUCCGAACAGAACUCCUUCUCCUCCCAAGGAACAGCACUUGCAUCCAGCCUGAGUCUGGCUUCUCUUCGCCCUGUUUAAAGGGACUUCCUUGACUCAGGACUUGUUAGAUCCAGGAAGGCUCUCUGAAAGGUGUACUCAGCUGAGCGGGAAGGCUCCCUCCUUGGGGCUCAACUCCUCCAGCCUGGGAGAGGACUAGCCCAAAGCCGACAAGAAGGGGGUGGGGCUGAAGACAGUGUGAGGGAAAGGGAAUGGAAGUCUCCUUGGCUGUGUAUCUAGGUAACAAGUGACUGUCUAGGACCUCAGAGUGACUGAAGUGUGAUCCUGUGUCUCCAAUCAAAAUGGCAAAAACACAGGCCCUAAAAGGGGACACAACUUGCCUAAAAGGGGUUCUUUCUAUCUAUAUAGUAAAUGAUAAAGGGGAGCUAAAAGAAAGGGAGAGAGAAGGACAGGGGAGGAAGGAAGAGAAAUGGUGAGAAGAGGUGCGAUUGGAAACUAGCUCUCUAUGGAUCCAGUUCUAUUCAGUCAACUAAAGCAGCCCUGACCUUGGGCCAUUUUUUUUCGCCAUUACUCUUGAGGCUUCUAUGUAAUGAAGGAAUUGAAACGGACCUAGAUCAUCGCUGAAGACUUUUCCUGAA